rnacentral:rRNA from 1 species
GAAUGGUACGCUGCUAUCGGAUAACCGUAGUAUUCUAGAGGCUAAUACAUGCAACAAACCCCGAUCAAGAAUGCUUAGUUCAGAUAAAGGUCGACGCGGGAUAUUAACCCGUGCUCUGAUGAUUCCAGAUAUAACUCGACGGAUCGCAUAGCUUCUGACGCUUGGCGACGCAUAUUUCAAAUUUCUGCCCAAUAUCAACUAUACAAUGGUAGGAUAAGUGGCCUAAUGGUGGUGACGGGUGACGGGGAGACUAGGGUUAAGAUUUCCGGGGAGAGGGAGCCUGAGAAACGGCUUACACAUAUACAGGAAGGGAGCAGGCGCGCAAAUUCCCAAACUGAACGGGAGAGGUAGUGACAUAAAUAACAAAAAGGCUCAUGAGUCUGGUAAUUGAAUGAGUACAAUCUAAAUCCCUUAAGAGGAUCAUUGGGAGGGCAAGUCUGGUGCCAGAGCCGGGGUAAUUCCAGCUCCAAUAGCGUAUAAUUUAAUUUGUUGCAGUUUAAAAGCUCGUAGUAUGACCUGGGAUGGGGGCGACCGGUCCGCCUCGGGGAGCACCAGGUGUCUGUCCUUCUGCCGGCGAUGCGCUCCUGGCCUUAAUUGGCCGUGCUCCGGCGCUGUUACUUUGAAGAAUUAGAGUGCUCAAAGAGAAGCUCUGGGAUACAUUAGCAUGGGAUAACAUCAUUAGGAUUCCGGUCCUAUUUGUGUUGGCCUUCGGGAUCGGAGUAAUGAUUAACAGAGAGUCCGGGGCAUCGUAUUUCAUAGUCAGAGGUGAAAUUCUUGGAUUUAUGAAGACGAACAACUGCGAAAGCAUUUGCCAAGGAUGUUUUCAUUAUCAAGAACGGAAAGUUGGGGGCUCGAAGAAGAUCAGAAAUACCGUCCUAUCUCACCAUAAACGAUGCCGACCAGGAUCGGCGGAUGUUACUCUUAGGACGCCGCCGGACCUAAUGAGAAAUCCAAAGUUUUUUGGGUUCGGGGGAGUAUGGUCGAAGGCUGAAAAUUAAAGGAAUGACGGAAGGGCUCCACCAGGAGUGGAGCCUGCGGCUUAAUUUGAUCACACGGAAAACUUACCAGGUCCAGACAUAGUAAGGAUUAAGAAUAGAGUUCUUUCAUGAUUCUAUGGGUGGUGUGCAUGGCCGUCUUAAGUUGGUUGGGAGCGAUGGUCUGGUUAAUUCCGUUACGAACGAGACCUCAGUGGAUAGUAUGAAGACAAGCUGUUUUAGAGGGACAUGGCCUUCCAGGCCACGGAAGUUUGAGGCAAUAACAGGUCUGUGAUAUAUGUCUGGGCCGCACCGCGCACACUGAUUAUAAAUAUAUUACGACAGGCCGGGUAAUCUUUGAAAUUUCAUCGUGAUGGGGAUAGAUCAUUGCAUUGUUGGUCUUCAACGGAAAAGGGGUCCAUCAGCUCGCGUUGGACUCGUCCCUGCCCUUUGACACACCGCCUCCGCUCCUACCGAUUGAUGGUCCGGAAGUGUUCGAUCGCGGCGACGUGGCGGAAUCCGCCGGCGACGACGCGAGAAGUCACUGAACCUAUCAUUUAGAGAAGGAAGUCGAAAAAGGUUUUCCCGAGGUGAACCUGCGGAAG